CUCAUCAAGAGCAGCGGAGGGAAUGGCCCGAUGAAACUGCGGCAACCAUUGAGCGAUCAAAAAGGUGCCAAUUCCUUUAGGCAUGAAAAGCCUAUGAGAUGAGA
rnacentral:ncRNA from 1 species